CCGGCGGCCGGGCCGGCAUCCUCGCGGCGUCCCUCCGCUAGAGGGGGGGACCAAGCCAAUUCUCCUUUGCAGCAAAAAAUUACAUGUAUAUAUUAUCAAGAUAAUAUAUACAUCCGAUCUUAUUUUUUAAAAAAAGUUUAUUUUGCUCCGAUUUUGAAAAAGAGGGAGGGUGGGUGGCCAGCGGUUUUUAUAAAUUAUUCUUAUUUUCUGUUAUCUGUCCCCGUCCCUCCCCACCCCCUGCUGAAGCUUGAAUAAGGGCAGGGAUCGCGGCUCCUACCUAUCGGUCACCCCCUUGCCCGUUCCUCCCCCGCCCCAUCGCCUAGCACAGUGCCCUGCACACAGUAGGCGCUCAAUAAAUGUUCGUGGAUGAUGAUGAUGAUGAUGAUGAAAAAAAUGCAGCAUCAACGGCAGCAGCAAGCGGACCACGCGAACGAGGCAAACUAUGCAAGAGGCACCAGGCUCCCUCUUUCUGGUGAAGGACCAACUUCUCAGCCGAAUAGCUCCAAGCAAACCGUCCUGUCUUGGCAAGCCGCGAUCGACGCUGCUAGACAGGCCAAGGCUGCCCAAACUAUGAGCACCUCUGCACCCGCACCUGUAGGAUCUCUCUCCCAAAGAAAACGUCAGCAAUACGCCAAGAGCAAAAAACAGGGUAACUCGUCCAGCAGCCGACCUGCCCGCGCCCUUUUCUGUUUGUCACUCAAUAACCCCAUCCGAAGAGCCUGCAUUAGUAUAGUGGAAUGGAAACCAUUUGACAUAUUUAUAUUAUUGGCUAUUUUUGCCAAUUGUGUGGCCUUAGCUAUUUACAUCCCAUUCCCUGAAGAUGAUUCUAAUUCAACAAAUCAUAACUUGGAAAAAGUAGAAUAUGCCUUCCUGAUUAUUUUUACAGUCGAAACAUUUUUGAAGAUUAUAGCGUAUGGAUUAUUGCUACAUCCUAAUGCUUAUGUUAGAAAUGGAUGGAAUUUACUGGAUUUUGUUAUAGUAAUAGUAGGAUUGUUUAGUGUAAUUUUGGAACAAUUAACCAAAGAAACAGAAGGCGGCAACCACUCCAGUGGCAAAUCGGGAGGCUUUGAUGUCAAAGCCCUCCGCGCCUUUCGAGUGUUACGACCACUUCGACUAGUAUCAGGAGUGCCCAGUUUACAGGUUGUCCUGAACUCCAUCAUAAAAGCCAUGGUUCCCCUCCUUCACAUAGCCCUUUUGGUGUUAUUUGUAAUCAUAAUCUAUGCUAUUAUAGGAUUGGAACUUUUUAUUGGAAAAAUGCACAAAACAUGUUUUUUUGCUGACUCAGAUAUCGUAGCUGAGGAGGACCCAGCACCGUGUGCGUUCUCAGGGAAUGGACGCCAGUGUACCGCCAAUGGCACAGAGUGCAGGAGUGGCUGGGUUGGCCCCAAUGGCGGCAUCACCAACUUUGAUAACUUUGCCUUUGCCAUGCUCACCGUGUUUCAGUGCAUCACCAUGGAGGGCUGGACAGACGUGCUCUACUGGGUAAAUGAUGCGAUAGGAUGGGAAUGGCCAUGGGUGUAUUUUGUUAGUCUGAUCAUCCUUGGCUCAUUUUUCGUCCUUAACCUGGUUCUUGGUGUCCUUAGUGGAGAAUUCUCCAAGGAAAGGGAGAAGGCGAAAGCACGGGGAGACUUCCAGAAGCUGCGGGAGAAGCAGCAGCUGGAAGAGGAUCUCAAGGGCUACUUGGAUUGGAUCACCCAAGCAGAAGAUAUUGAUCCCGAGAACGAAGAAGAAGGAGGAGAGGAAAGCAAACGAAAUACCAGCAUGCCCACCAGUGAGACGGAGUCUGUGAACACGGAGAACGUGAGUGGGGAAGGCGAGAACCAAGGCUGCUGUGGGAGCCUCUGGUGCUGGUGGAGAAGAAGAGGCACCACCAAGGCCGGGCCCUCUGGGUGUCGGCGGUGGGGUCAAGCCAUCUCAAAGUCCAAGCUCAGCCGACGCUGGCGCCGCUGGAACCGCUUCAGUCGCAGAAGGUGUAGGGCUGCCGUGAAGUCUGUCACGUUUUACUGGCUGGUUAUUGUCCUGGUGUUUCUCAACACCUUAACCAUUUCCUCUGAGCACUACAACCAGCCUGACUGGUUGACACAGAUUCAAGAUAUCGCUAACAAAGUCCUCCUGGCUCUGUUCACCUGCGAGAUGCUUGUAAAGAUGUACAGCUUGGGUCUGCAGGCAUAUUUCGUCUCUCUUUUCAAUCGGUUUGAUUGCUUCGUGGUGUGUGGAGGAAUCACGGAAACGAUCUUGGUGGAACUGGAAAUCAUGUCUCCUCUGGGCAUCUCUGUGUUUCGCUGUGUGCGGCUCCUGAGAAUUUUCAAAGUGACCAGGCACUGGACCUCCCUGAGCAACUUGGUGGCAUCCUUGUUAAACUCCAUGAAGUCCAUCGCUUCGCUGCUGCUGCUGCUUUUUCUCUUCAUCAUCAUCUUUUCCUUGCUGGGGAUGCAGCUGUUCGGCGGCAAGUUUAAUUUUGACGAAACUCAAACCAAGCGGAGCACCUUCGAUAAUUUCCCUCAAGCGCUUCUAACGGUGUUCCAGAUUCUGACAGGUGAAGACUGGAACGCUGUGAUGUAUGAUGGCAUUAUGGCAUACGGGGGCCCGUCGUCUUCGGGAAUGAUCGUCUGCAUCUACUUCAUCAUCCUCUUCAUUUGUGGUAACUAUAUUCUACUGAAUGUCUUCUUGGCCAUCGCUGUAGACAACUUGGCAGAUGCUGAAAGUUUGAAUACUGCUCAGAAAGAGGAAGCUGAGGAAAAGGAAAGGAAGAAGAUUGCCAGAAAAGAAAGCCUGGAAAAUAAAAAGAACAACAAACCAGAAAUCAACCAGAUAGCCAACAGCGACAACAAGGUCACCAUCGAUGACUACCGAGAAGAGGAUGAGGACAAAGACCCCUACCCGCCUUGUGAUGUGCCAGUAGGUGAAGAGGAAGAGGAGGAGGAAGAGGAUGAACCCGAGGUUCCUGCUGGCCCCCGUCCUCGAAGAAUGUCUGAGUUGAACAUGAAAGAGAAAAUCACCCCCAUCCCCGAAGGGAGCGCUUUCUUCAUUCUUAGCAAGACCAACCCGAUCCGCGUGGGCUGCCACAAGCUCAUCAACCACCACGUCUUCACCAACCUUAUCCUCGUCUUCAUCAUGCUGAGCAGCGCUGCCCUCGCCGCCGAGGACCCCAUCCGCAGCCACUCCUUCCGGAACACUAUACUGGGUUACUUUGACUAUGCUUUCACAGCCAUCUUUACUGUUGAAAUCCUGUUGAAGAUGACGACUUUCGGAGCUUUCCUCCACAAAGGGGCUUUCUGCAGGAACUACUUCAACUUACUGGAUAUGCUGGUCGUUGGGGUGUCUCUGGUGUCAUUUGGGAUCCAAUCCAGUGCCAUCUCAGUCGUGAAGAUCCUGAGAGUCUUAAGGGUUCUGAGACCGCUCAGGGCAAUCAACAGAGCAAAAGGACUUAAGCACGUGGUCCAGUGCGUCUUUGUGGCCAUCCGGACAAUUGGCAACAUCAUGAUCGUCACCACCCUCCUCCAGUUCAUGUUUGCUUGCAUUGGGGUGCAGCUCUUCAAGGGAAAGUUUUAUCGAUGCACAGAUGAAGCCAAAAGUAACCCCGAAGAAUGCAGGGGGCUCUUCAUCCUCUACAAGGACGGGGAUGUCGAUAACCCUGUGGUCCGUGAGAGGAUCUGGCAAAACAGCGACUUCAACUUUGACAACGUCCUCUCAGCUAUGAUGGCUCUGUUCACGGUCUCCACGUUCGAGGGCUGGCCCGCGUUGCUGUACAAGGCCAUCGACUCGAACGGGGAGAACGUCGGCCCCAUCUACAACUACCGUGUGGAGAUCUCCAUCUUCUUCAUCAUCUACAUCAUCAUCGUAGCGUUCUUCAUGAUGAACAUCUUUGUGGGCUUCGUCAUCGUCACAUUUCAGGAGCAGGGGGAGAAAGAGUAUAAGAACUGUGAGCUGGACAAAAAUCAGCGUCAAUGUGUUGAAUACGCCUUGAAAGCACGUCCCUUGCGAAGAUACAUCCCCAAAAACCCCUACCAGUACAAGUUCUGGUACGUGGUGAACUCCUCGCCUUUCGAGUACAUGAUGUUUGUCCUCAUCAUGCUCAACACACUCUGCUUGGCCAUGCAGCACUACGAGCAGUCCAAGAUGUUUAAUGACGCCAUGGACAUCCUGAACAUGGUGUUCACCGGGGUGUUCACUGUCGAGAUGGUUUUGAAAGUCAUUGCAUUUAAACCUAAGGGGUACUUUAGUGAUGCCUGGAACACGUUUGACUCCCUCAUCGUAAUCGGCAGCAUUGUAGACGUGGCGCUCAGCGAAGCUGACCACUAUUUCACUGAUGCAUGGAACACUUUUGAUGCCUUAAUUGUUGUUGGUAGCGUCGUUGAUAUUGCUAUAACUGAAGUGAAUCCAACUGAAAGUGAAAAUGUCCCUGUCCCAACUGCUACACCUGGGAACUCUGAAGAGAGCAAUAGAAUCUCCAUCACCUUUUUCCGUCUUUUCCGAGUGAUGCGAUUGGUGAAGCUUCUCAGCAGGGGGGAAGGCAUCCGGACACUGCUGUGGACUUUUAUUAAGUCCUUCCAGGCGCUCCCGUAUGUCGCCCUUCUCAUCGCCAUGCUGUUCUUCAUCUACGCGGUUAUCGGCAUGCAGAUGUUUGGGAAAGUUGCCAUGAGAGAUAACAACCAGAUCAACAGGAACAACAAUUUCCAGACCUUUCCGCAGGCCGUACUGCUGCUCUUCAGGUGUGCGACGGGGGAGGCCUGGCAGGAAAUCAUGCUGGCCUGCCUCCCGGGAAAGCUCUGUGACCCCGAGUCCGAUUACAACCCCGGGGAGGAGUACACCUGCGGGAGCAACUUUGCCAUUGUUUAUUUCAUCAGUUUUUACAUGCUCUGUGCAUUUCUGAUCAUCAACCUGUUUGUGGCUGUCAUCAUGGACAAUUUCGAUUAUCUGACCCGGGACUGGUCUAUUCUGGGGCCUCACCAUUUAGACGAAUUCAAAAGAAUAUGGUCCGAAUAUGACCCCGAGGCAAAGGGAAGAAUCAAGCACCUGGACGUGGUCACUCUGCUCCGCCGCAUCCAGCCCCCCCUGGGGUUUGGGAAAUUGUGUCCACACAGGGUAGCCUGCAAGAGACUAGUUGCCAUGAACAUGCCGCUCAACAGUGAUGGGACAGUCAUGUUUAACGCAACUCUGUUUGCUUUGGUCCGAACGGCUCUUAAAAUCAAGACGGAAGGGAACCUGGAACAAGCUAAUGAAGAACUCCGAGCUGUGAUCAAGAAAAUCUGGAAGAAAACCAGCAUGAAACUACUUGACCAAGUUGUCCCUCCAGCUGGUGAUGAUGAGGUAACCGUGGGGAAGUUCUAUGCCACUUUCCUGAUACAGGACUACUUUAGGAAAUUCAAGAAACGGAAAGAACAAGGACUGGUGGGAAAAUACCCCGCGAAGAGCAGCACAAUUGCCCUACAGAUGCUUGAACGGAUGCUUUAGAAUUUUCUGCCUGAGCUACAGCACCACGCUCGUUAGUCGGAAGGCGUUUGUGGCUAAGGCCUUGAAAGGGAAAAGCCUCAAGUGGGCUUAUUUCUACUGAAACAGCAUUUCGGGAGAAAUGCAGGAAAAAGCAAACCCAAGGCCCCAGAGAGACCCCUUCCAAGCAAAGCACUCCUCCGGAAGGUGGAAGCAGGGCCGUGGCUCAACUGCGGAGCCGUGGUCUCCUGUCACGGACGCUGCUCGGUGGCUCCUUUUCAUGAAAGGGAAUGAGCAAAGGCUUAACAGUUUUCCCUUCCAAGCAGAGACUCAGAGAAAGGGAAAGAGUGAGAGCAAAGGAGGGGGGCAGCCGCCCCACAGAGAAAUGAAAUGAACACAACUUCCUGAUGCUGGCCAGUAAAAAAAAAAAAAAAAAAAAAAAUUCAUAAAAAGAUUAAGCAGACCUGCGUAAGGUGGGCAGCUGACUCCGUUCCAAAGUCCUGCAUCCCUAGUUUACCUGAACUACCAAAGACUGGCAGGCCCCUUGGCACUGGGCUGACAAAAUUCCUUUUAUAUAUGCCAGUCCAUCAUGACCUCCUGACCAUCCAGCUCCACUCUCUGCAGUGACCAGUGCAGGAUGAAGGGAGAUGUGGACAGGACAGGAAGCUCAGACACCCCCAUUUAAACUAACACAUACACCUGCAUGCCCAAACCAACCCAGGCGACACCUCAGGUUCCAUCUUAACGCGUCCGCGGGAAAUACCACCACACCCAAACCUCAUCCGACAUUGUCCGUCUUUAAUUCAAAGCCAGUCUGGGGAUGCCUCUUUGGAAGCAGUGUGGUCCAGUUUCAAGGACACUGGGAGUCAGGGAACCUGGGUUCUAGUCCCAGUUCCAGCGUUCACUUGCUGUGUGACCUUGGGCAAGACACUUAACCUCUCUGUGCCUCAGUUUCCCCAUCUGUAAAAUGGGGGUAAUAAUGUCGACCUACCUCACAGGGCUGUUGUGAGGAAUAGCUAAGUGAUUGUAAAGCACUUUGAACGUAUACUUGCUUAUUAUUUAAGACUACAACAAUAAUAAUAUCAUAUGCCUGUUUACUACCAGAACUUUAAGAAAUUCUUGUUUUUCUUUGACCUCUUCUCUGUCCUGUAGUGAUCCAUCGAGAAAGAGAACUCUCCCCUUUUUGAGAUUUCUAGGAAAUGCAUAAAGAUGUAAACAGCAGGAACUCUUCAGGUUGUUUUCUCACAUCUUACAAAAAGUAGAUGCUUUUGCACAAGAAGUUGCUUCGAGGGGCGGGGGGAGGUCCCCUCUGAAAUUCUCAGCUGUUUCCAGGCAGUAGUUGAGGAGUCAGUACACCUGAUGCUGAGCCCAAGAUACCCAGAGGUUUAGUGCAAAGUUGAGUGCAAAACCUUGAAAUUCCUGAAAUGUCUAGAGAAGAGAAGGGUUACAAGCUCUGGUCUGUGCAGACUGGAGGCUGUGUGCAUGUGUGCGUGUGUGCAGGGCGUGGAGAGGCCCAGGAUGUGGGGAAGCCCAGCUCCUGGCUGUUCUCAUCCUCAGCCAGGCAGGGUGGGGGAGCCGUGUAGCCAGUGGGAAGAGUGGUGCUAGCAGAAGUCCCCCAGGCCCGUCCUAUGCAUGACUGAGAGGGUCCCUCCCAGCCUGGAGGUCUGCUCCAGUGAUGUCUUCUGUGCUGUGACCUUUGUUUCACUUGGGAAACAGGCCUGGCCCCCAAUUUGGUUCCUGUGUGUGUGCAGACUGUCUUAAGUCUAGGAGCUCGUGGUGGGUUUUCUGCAUUCUCACAGCAGAGUCCGUGGGGCCAGAGAACAGGGUUGACCUCUUCACACAGCACCAUGGGUGGUGACGUGGGCAUGGGGGCGACCCCUGUGAAAAUGUCGAAGCACAGCUGUACCUGCUAGUUGACAGCUGUGGCCCCCAGCACCUUGAGUCUCCUCACCCCCUGCUAACAUCCCAGCCCUGCACCAAACCCCUCUGUGAUUCAGUAACUAAAGGGCGAAUGCCUGGUGUAGCAGGGACCUCUGGGAGCCUAUUCUGGUCUGAAGGCCCACCUCUGCUCUGACUGGGUAGUGCCCGGGAUAAACCAGUUAUUAAGUAUGUGGUGUAUCAUCCCUGAAAAAGAAGCUGGUCAGCUCUGUGGGCUCAGGUAAGGAGUUUAUCCACCAUCACAAACGAUCCCCCUGUCCCUGACCGACUCUGAUGUCGUUUAUUAAAUACUAAAGGGAGUGUUUGUGCUCGCCCCCGCCCCCUGUCUGUGUCACCCCAUCUCAGAGGCCCACAGUGGCCAUCUGUCUUCUAGAUCUAAGUCUCUAUACACCAGAGCCUCAGCAGAGCAGCUCUAAGCAAUCCACGUGGCUGGUGUCUCCACAUGCCUUUCUGCACAGUCCUUCCACAUACGUAGAAACUGGAAAGCAGUAACUUUCUAGGUGGGAUUUACGGAACGGUCUAAAUGGAACGUGAGAAUCUUGCCCCGCGUGGGCCUGGCUGUGUGCUGAGUGACGGCCCUGGUGGUGGCUGGUGGCUGAGAUCAGUUGGUGAAGGACAGCCAGAAGUUGUCGGGGCCACCUCCCGCCUCGCUCGAAAGGGAAACGAGGCUUCCCUGGAACCUGGUUCACAGUCAAACUGCAGAUACCUCUGUCCUUUUCCCUAAGACCUUAAAAGAAGAGUAUAGCUUUAAACGUAGAAAAGUUGUAAGAGACAAGUCAUGUUUAAUAGGUCAGAUUGACAGACUCAGCAAACUCGGUGCCCAACACCAGAAUCCAUGGUGCUAAACUCUGAAGCUCCUGGAUGGAAGACACAAUGCAGGCCAGGAUCCAUCGCAGGGACACAGAUGUAGGAUCGGGCCUCAGGAUCUUCUUCAAUAGCUUACUCUAUGGUGUGACCUAAUUAAAAAUUCGGUUGAUCCACAGGAUUAUUGGGUACUGGAUUCUCUCCUCUUAAAGGCAGGAGAUCGCUCCUCUCUAAGAAUAGUAAUUAUUAUUUUCAAAAGUCUCUGAGACGAUAGAAUGACUGAAAAUAAGGGAAGUUACAUGAUGUCAUCGCAAAAGGUCUUAAUUACUGUGGCAUGCUAUUGACUAACACCCACCUAGGAGCCCUCUUUAGCCCAAACGUAUCACGAUUUGGUUAUCCACUGGCAGGAGCUUGCGAACACUCGUGGUUCCUUGGCUGGGUAGGUACCUGCACGAAUUAGUUCUCCCUGGCACACCGUAGCCCUGAGAGAGGUGGCUAUUGGGGGUAAUGGGAGGGCACAUCGUUCUAAGGCACAGUGAAGGCAACCCAUGCCAAAGGCUAACUCAGAGAAGCCACGAGAAGGAUGUUUCUUCCCAAAGUAGAGAAAGGUCGGGGGAGAUCACAGGAAUCCUGGAUGGGGGAAUAGCCCAGCUCCAGGAAAAGAUGGUGUUGCCUGUCUGAGGGCAGGUUAUCAUCAAGUUCUACAACUUUCUGGUCUCAGGAACCUUUUAUGCUCUUAAGAAUUAUCGAGGACCCUUCUGUAUCAAUAUUUACUACAUUAGGAAUUAAAGCAGAGAUUUUUAAAACGCAGAAUAUGCAAGCACAAAGUUGCCGGAGAGAUGAGAUCCCCAAGGUUUAUGCAGCCUUUGAAAAACCCCACUGUGCUCUCAGGAGAGGAUGAGAGCGUACAAGGCUGAGAGCAUCCUUGUCUUAUUAUGCAAAACACAAUGACCUCUUGGACCCUUUAAGGUGUCUCAGAGGGCCCCAGGGUCCUUGGGCCACACUUUGAGAACUGCUGCUCUGGGGGAUUGAUCCCAUAUCCCCCCCUAAAGGAAAAGGGUGCUGGAGCCUUUUUCCAAUCUCCUGCCCCUACCUUGAACUGUCCCCUAACUCCCAGGCCCGUCCCCAAUCCCAGCCCACUCACCUAUACAUGGAGCUGCCUGGGCCCCCAGCGUCCAGCCCGCGUUCAGGCUGAGAGUUGUACCGCACAUGCCAUGUCUCACUGCCUGUGCUGAUCUGGAGGAAUGGUGGUGUGAAUUCGUGUGUGAGAGAGAAGUGUCUGUAAGGAUCUCAGCUCCUGAGAGUGGCACGGCGGAGACAAGGAUAUGCGCUGAGUGUAGGACCAGUUUUUGCGAUACCUGGUGAUUUCUGUCAUUGCCGUGAUACAAGAGUGCUGCUGAGUUAGUUGUAAGAAGUUUCACCUUGAUUGAGUGGCAGCCACAGUCAUGUGGGGUUGCAGUCAUGAGUGAGCGCAUGGUGGGAACUGGAUCCUGGCACUCUUCCCCGUAGACCCCAAAAGGUGGGGCGGCAUGGUGUCAUUGGAACAGCCGAACUGCGCGUCGCGAUCCCUAGCUGAGCCAUCACUCGUGUGGGCAGGUCACUUAACCAAAUGGGAAUCAUCUUGGCUCUCCCCUCCCCGGCCCGCCCUCCCAAGAUGUAGUGGGAUAAAGUAUGUUACAUUGCAGUGACAAAGAUGCUAGCAGAAUAGGUCUCGAUUUGUGACUUCUGCUAAGCCCACAUUUUAAGUAAAACUCUCUCUGUUAUCAGGAAACUGGCAAGCAUUUCUCCAAUGCUGGUGUUAAAACUACAACCAAGAAUUAAGGUGGAACUAAAACAGUUGGCUUUGUCAGAUCAGAAGAAAUGUCACAGAUUGCUUUAGAUAAUUUUUUUUAAGUUGCAGGGAAAUGUCAUAGAUCACUUUAGGUAAUUUUUUUAAACUUCCCUUUAUCUUUCAAAAGGAAGGUAACAAACUCCAUGUACACAGCGGAGUGCCACCCCCAGGGUAACUUACAUGGUAAUGUUACAGCUGACUUUGCAGGGAGGGUGGGAAUCACUGUGCGUGACUCACGGGGGGCGUGCCUUCCUCGUAAUUCUAGCUCUUUAUGUUUAUAUAUAACUCGAGGACUGUUCAUAACGGACGCAGAGGCCACACCAUCACAUCUUCCCUGGUGGAGAACAAUGACAAAAGAAGGGGUGUGCCUGUGUGUGAUGUGUGUGCAUGUGGGGAUGCAGGGGAGGUGGAAUGGCUUAUAGAUAAACAGGUGUAUGCUGUGAGAAUUUAAUCUCCAGUUCUUUGUGCCGAGGGAGCUAGUCUAAAAUGAUCCCUUCUAAUUGGGUAGGGGCAGAAGCCUGCUAAAGGGUUAACCAGAACUCGCCUUUAACGAGAUGACCGAGCAGGGCCGGCCUUGGCUGCGGGAGACCUGCCUGUGAUAGAGACCCGGCUCUGCUCUUUGGCUGGAGCCUGAAAGCCUGGCACUCAUACCCGAAGAUGGAUGGCCUGGCCCAGUCCCAACUGGAGACUCACAUCUCUUAUCUGCACUGUUACAGUGUAGGUUCAGGAGGGGUUCCGGGGCGUUUCUACGUGCUGAGAGCUGGCAGACGACCGGUGUGAGUGAUGGCGCUAGCUUAGGGAGACAGGCAGUGAAAGCAUUUCAGAUGCACCAGGUAGGAAAAACUUAACCCUGAAAGUGGGCAAGAGAAAGGAAGGUAAAUGAAUGUUCCUACUUGAGGUUAAAAUAUCAUACAUUUAUGCUAUUGCUUCAGAAAUAUUUACAGAGAUUUUAUAGUUUGGGGUUUUUUUUUUUUUUUUUGGUGACUUAAUCAUUCACUAGAGUAAAUAUCUAUAAAAUUCCAAUUAAAUGGUGUCUAAAAUUUAAAGCAGCGGUCUACAGGCAAAGCGCCAACAUUUCUUUUUUUAACAAAAAUAUUUAUGAGAACAUCUAGCAUUUAAAAAUCAACCAGAAACUAGGUUUGAUUCUGUUUAAUAUUUUAUAUGAUUGGACAUCUUAAAACAAAUCGAUAAUGUUUAUAUUUUAUAGAAAUUCUGUGUUUAUUCAAAACCAUAAUUCUACUGUGAUGUUAAUGGAAUGACUUUAUAUGGCUUUAAUUGUGUUGGUUUAAAUGCUAAUGACCACAUUUCAAAUUAAAGUAGUAUUUUGCUGAUAGGGGUAGACACAGAUAUGACAUAUGAAAGAACAGAUAAUUUUACUGAUUGUAAAGUGUUUAUUUCCAGAAAAAAAUGUUCUUUUUUUUUUUUUUAAGGGCUGUGAAAAAAAGUCAUUUUUUCAAGGGUUUAAGAUAGAUUUCUGCACUUUGGGAAUUGGAACUUGUGCCUAUGGAAUUUUUGGAGCAGCCUAAGCUACCUUUUAGCUUGAUAUGUGUGUGCUAGAAAAUUUUUCAUUACCAUGUUUUGUGAUAUGUAAUAAAUUCAGGGUGCUGUGCUUAAGCUUCGUUUCAAUUCAAGUUUGGGAACAUCUGUUUCCCUCAUUCCCAACCCUGGCAGACACCCCUACUCCCCAUAGUACCUCCCCCCUCCCUCCCCGUCUGUCCUUCCUCGGAUCCCCUGUGAAAGAGUCCAGUCAGUCUCUGACUCUUAGGAGGUGUGUUCCUUCCUGCGUGGAGCAAAGCAAAAUAUAAUCAUGAUUUCUGAGCCUCUGCUCUCCUGUCUGGGAAGAGUGAUGCUUUCUCUCCUCCUUUGAUGUCUCUUUAAUAAAUAUGUUGUCCUUAUUUGUCUUUGGACAUGGCCUCUUGGGCCACCUCUCAAUUUCCUCCAUGAUUUAUGUUGCAAACAAAUUCUCUGUCCUGUGUGUUUGUUCACUGCUCUCUCCUAAUCUUGUGUAUCAUUGAAGACAUGCUGGAGACAGUUUUUGGUUUUAUUAUGCAAUUAUGUCAUAUGUGUAUUUCAGUGAAAUGUCAAGCCGUCAACAGAGGAUGAUGUUAAAAAUUAUCCAAAUAAAUAGUUUUCUAUUUCUUCUAAUCAGACCUAGUCCAGUCAGUUGAAUGACAGUGAACAGGAUUAUCUGUUGUUAUUUAAACAGUUUUCCUGGCCCACGCUGCCUUGGGACGUGGAUUAAGGUACAUAAUUUACCUGGGGAUGCUGACUCGGUGCACUGUCACCUGUGUGUGUUUUGUGGCAACGGAAGCAGGUGUCUCAAACCUGGUCUCUUGCUUGGGAGCCUCAGAUAUGUAACAGCUCUUUCUUUCCAGUGAUCCAAAAUCAGAUGGUGAAACUCUGGCUUCGUUUAUCUUCCCUUGAUAACUGUGCCCUACAGAACACUGCCUGGAUGAAUUGCAGGCUGUUCAGUACGACUGGGCUCAACCUUGCUGCCCAGGCCUGCAGCUCUGCUGUGCAAGAGCUUUUCAUCCACUUGGCAUUAGAGUUGCCUUCCUGAUGUUUCCCUGAGAAUGGUGUGGGUCUGCCUCUAAGACAGAUGAUUUCCCAGGCUCAGAUGUGCCGGAAGCGGGGUCCUGAGAGAGGAAAAGAGUGAGCGUGUGUGUGUGUGUGUGCGCGCGUGUACAUGUGUGUGCUUGUAGCUGUACGUGUGUGCACGUCUGAGUGCGUGUGUCUGCUGCCUGUGAUCAGAGGGACAGGUGAGUGAGAGGCAGCCUCACUGCCCACACCACAAACUGUUCUGGCUUUGGCCCUGGGACACGUGUGUCCUUCCCCUGCGAGACCACAGCCUUCUUAGCCGGGAACCUUAAGGCUUUGACUCCAGGCAGCUCGUUCACCCCCACGGUUCAUAAAAUGGAAAGGUCUGGGGCUCCUGUAUGCAAAGAAUGGUUCAAACCAGACGCAGCCUGGUGUGCGACCUUUAAAAGGAUCCUCUCGCAGGCUGAGGGCUGUUACGAACGAAGCCAUUUUCACGAGAGCCUCUUGGGCGGUUCCAUAGGACUGCAGAAGACCGGUCUGAGCGUUCCCACACUCGUGGGCUCGGUCCUGCCGGAUCUGGCAAGAUGGGGGCCACCCUCCCCUCCUCCCCUCCCCCCCACCCCCUCCACUGCCCGGCGUGUCUCAAACGUGGUCAUCACGCUUUGUCUGUGCCCUGUACCACCCGCUGCCGGGGCUUGUGGAGGAAGGACAGGGAAGCGGUCCCCCCCCUCACACUGGGGGGUGUUAGCUGCGGGUGGAGACCCGCACAGCCAGGGCCUCACAUGUUCUCCACACCUUUAGUGGCUACUGAGGUGCAGACAGACGGCCGGCAGGUGAGGGGGUACCACCCGGGUACAGGACGGGUGACCUUAGACCGGGGACAGGGAGGGAAUGCCUCUUUCCGAUGCCAGUCUUUUUGUGUCCAAGGAUAGAGUAACUGUACUCUCCCUAUUAGUGUGCCAUUUUUCUUCAAAUUGUUGGUCAAAACAUAAUUUUCUCAGAGCCAGCAACCACCCCUCCCCCAUAGGUAGUCCAUAAGCAUCUCGAAUACUUCCCUAGAGAAAUUUAAGUACAAUGGGAGGGCUUCUCCCAGGCCCUGUCCCACUGGAACCCGGGGCCCAGGGUGAGGAAGGCCGGCCGUGAGGGCCUCGGGGAAAUGCAGAACGUCCGUGAGGGGCCUAAGGGGUCACCUGGCAGGUCUGGCGCCGCCUCCAGAGGCUGGAGCCCCUUUCAGUGUGUUGUGGUCUUCAAGAGGAUGACCCAACCAUUGGCGAGUUCUCCACCUGAGCACAGGCUGCAGGCCCAGGUGCCAACAGAUGGCCAUGGAGCCUGGCCCUGCACGGCAGCCCAGGUCUGUGCGUGUCUGUCCAUCGCGUUCUGGUCCUGAAUGUGCUGGUGGCUGCAGUGUGUUUUGUCCUGCCCUCGUUCCCAUGGCUUUGAAGCAGAACCAGUGGCCCAGUUGGCUGCCUGGUCUGCUGGCCCUCUGGCACCUGCACUAGGCUUCUCAUCCUGGACACAGCCAGCGAGCGCUUGCCACCCUCCCUGUAAAACAGCCGCGCCGUGCUCCUCGCCCCGUCCGAGGCUCCGGGAGAUGGCGCUCUGCGGGCCAUCCUUCUGUAGACAGUCCUUUAGACAUGGGCCUGGGCUCUUGGCCAUGGCAGACCCUAGUACUAGUAAGCAAGCGCUGUUCCCUGCGAGUGGGGGUGCUUGAAAAGGCGGUCACUGGCCUCAAGCAUCCCAGCCCAGGACCAUCUUGAACUCCUGACCACACCCUCCAUCCCUGAGGCUGCAGGGACACCAUCAGUUACAUUCAAACAAGUGGUCAGUUCCCUGGACUGUCCUUUGGAGAAACCUUCCCCUCCCACAACUGAAUCAGGCAGGAGCAAAGCCAGGACCCAGGCUGGGCCCAGGCCACCCGUGUUGUCUAACCUGUUUUGCCAUUUUCAUUGAUCUAGGCGGGAUUAAGGACACUGCACGACAUUGGGCCAGAAAUCCGGCGUGCUAUCUCAUGUGAUUUGCAAGAUGACGAGCCAGAGGAAACAAAAGGCGAAGAAGAAGAAGAUGUGUUCAAAAGAAAUGGUGCCCUGCUUGGAAACCAUGUCAAU